AAGCGCUUGUGACCAGACUUGCGCCAGGUGGAUCAUCCAGCGUUCUCGCUGGUGCACUCUGCCUGGUUCAGGCCAGCAUCGGUUUUCUCAGUGGGAUAAAGGCUUUGGGAAUGUAGCUCUUCCGGGAGUGUUA
rnacentral:rRNA from 1 species